GCGCUCCUCGCCCCCAUCACCGCUUUCCUGGAGUCACGGAAGUCGCCUCCCUGAAGGGUUAAGGUUCCCUUCAUAGCUGCUAUCCUCAGAGACUGUGCCUUGCCCUGAGAGAGUCCAUCCUACACGCAGCAGUUGACUCUAUUUUGAAGAUGUGGGAUGACUGCACCUGAGUGGACAUGUGAACCAUACCAUCUGUCUGGCACUACCCACAUAGCACACACUGAUAUAUGACUUAGUCCUGGGAGUAGAAUGUUCCCUAUAAACUUAUCUGUGUGAAAUGAGAUUUUAGGGACAAAUGUAUGUAUUAAAAGCCUAAGAACUCAACGUGACUUUUCUUCCCACAAUCCCCCGUACUUGUCCUUUCCAACUUGAGCCUGGCAGAAUGGUUCCUGCAAUGGAACCAUUGACCCUUCUGCCAUCAACAAGGUGGUGACCACAGAAGACAGCAUCAACAUUCACAAGUGCAUCCAUGGAGUGGACUUCAAGAAGUGUACUCCUUGGGCACUCAAAGAAGUCUGGAAAUUUGCCAUGAAAGAGAAGGGAACUCCAGAUGUGCACAUUGACACCAGGCUCAAUAAAGCCAUCUGGGCCAAGGGAAUAAGGAAUGUUCUCUAUUGCAUCUGAGUACAUUUGUCCAGAAAACGUAAUGAGGAUGAGGAUUCACCAAACAAGCUCUACACAUUGGUAACUUACAUGCCUGUUAUCACAUUAGAAAAAAAAAAACUACAGAUGUUAUCUAUGUGGAUGAUAACUAACCUGCUAAAUGUCAAAUAAAGUU